CAAGUUUUGCCACCGGGCAAGAAUGCAGAGCAUUCAUAUACUUAUCGUUAGGUCUUUGAAGAUAAGUAUGUGGGUGCUUAUUUUUU
rnacentral:ncRNA from 1 species